GAAGUGUAGACUAUUAUCCUCAGUCCUGUACUCUUUCUUUGCAUUUCUAGUUAUGGAAUGGAGAUGCACAUGAUCUGAAGCUCCAUCAUAGAAGGUCACUAGAUUGGUCAGGCAUGAUCUGCCCUUGUUGAAGUCAUGCUGGCUGUCUCAGAUCUCCUUCCAUGUGCCCUAACAGCUUCCUGGAAGAUCUGUUCCCUGAUCUUCCCAGUUACAGAGGGUUGAGGACGAAAGUCUAGGUGUAUCUAUGUCAACUUUGCACUGUCUCUCGGUGAGCUAAGUUCUGUGGAAAUCUGCCUUUUAGAAAAAGCUCAAGUGGCACACAGUCAUUCACUCAGUUCCCACCUCCCAGUGGAAUGGGGGGGAGAAUCAUAAAAAAACAACAAAGUAGAACUCAUGGGUUGAGAUAAAAGCUAUUUAAUAAUACAGAAAUGGAAGAGAAAAAAAGAAAAGGUAAUUGUUUUUGUAUAUUUAUAUAUAUUUUACAUAUACAUAUAUACAUAUACACACACAAAACAAGUGAUUCAAUAUUUUGCCCAUCGCCCACCAACCUGCUCCCAGGCC
ensembl:lncRNA